CAGAAUAUAUUUCGCCAAAUUUAAGAAGUCCCUGACAUCAAAACAUAAGUCACACUCAUCCUAAAAUUAAAAAUAUAGAUUCUGUUAUUUUAAGAUUAUAUUAUUAGUAGUAGAAUUUGUAUAUUACAUAUGUUAUUAUUGUUGUUAUAUAUAUUAUUCUGUCUUUUAUCUGCAUUUUACCUCUGCUUUAUCUUGUUUCCUUCUAAUGAACCUGGAACUGCAGAGUAAAUAUUGUUGUCUCUGUGUCAGAUGGCUUGUUUUGUUCCUGGACUCUUCAGUGAUGAUGAGCAGAGUCUGAGUGAACCUGCUGUCAGACAAUCACUAUUGCACACCAAAUGCUCUUACUCAGCAGAUGGGGACAGCUACCAUCACCCAAUUUUCACCCAAAAGUGGCUGCGCUAUUCGCCAGACUGGGCAGGAGGGACUGGACGACAACUUAUGCAGGCAUCAGAUGACAAUGAAAUGUAAAUAAAGAGUAGAGAAGCUAAUAAACAUGAAUUUGAUUUUAAA